GGAUGUAUAGCUCAGUGAUAGAGUGCGUGCUUAACACACACGAAGUCCUGGCUUCAAUCCCCAUUACCUCCA
rnacentral:tRNA from 1 species